CGUUGGACGUUGGCUAAACUUAUGACUUGCUCAACCUCUGAUCUCACAGCAAUUCUGCGUGGUAGUACUACCAGACUACUUGUCUCGAGUGGUUUCUCUGCUCGCUCGAUGCGUCGCGGGACAGGCACCGUGUUUUGGCUGCUCGUCGCCGCCGCCGCGCUCCUGCUCCUGGUUCUGCCGCUGCUGGCCUCCUGCGCGGCCUCCGCACGUCCUCCUCCAGUCCGGGCGACAGGCCCAGGGUCUGUUGCACCGACACUGGCGUCUUCUAGUCUACAUCGAUAAUUUGUCGGGUUGCUGCUUCUUCAAACUCCUGGGUUAUAAGGGGGAAGGGUCAGUCCACCAACAACAAACUUGGCCUCAGCAGGACGAAAGGAAUGAUGGCCUUCGUGGAUCCGAGUGGCGGCGACCUACCAUGCACUACUCUAGGAUGCAAAAGUUCAUAGUAGAACACAUCUCUUUAACAAAAGAUGAUGACUUCGGCAAUCUUAUUCAUCUCCAAAAGUAUUGGCCCCAUAGCAGGGGAGCGGCGAUAGCGAUGCGUCGGCAGCUCGUUCUUGCGGGCGUUUGGUGGUUUCGGGAUAUCGAUGUAAUUUUAUUAUAUGUACGUAUUUGAGAUGCUUUAUGCUUCAAUACUUUC
rnacentral:rRNA from 1 species